rnacentral:rRNA from 1 species
AGUGAACGCUGGCGGCAGGCCUAACACAUGCAAGUCGAACGGCAGGACAGGAAAGUUUGCUCUCUGGGUGGCGAGGGGCGGAGGGGUGUGGCAUACAGCUGAACUUGCUCAGUCGCGGGGGAUAACGCAGGGAAACUUACGCUAAUACCGCAAAUGUUUUUAGGGGGAUAGAGGGGGAUUGCAAGACCUUCUGGCUUUCGCUUAUCCGUUGUCGGAUUAGCUAGUUGGUGAGGUAAUGGCCCACCAAGGCGACGAUCCGUAGCUGGUCUGAGAGGAUGAUCAGCCACACUGGAACUGAGACACGGUCCAGACUCCUACGGGAGGCAGCAGUGGGGAAUCUUGCGCAAUGGGCGAAAGCCUGAUCCAGCCAUGCCGCGUGAGUGAUGAAGGCCUUCGGAUUGUAAAGCCCUUUUAUUAGGGAAGAACACAUUCGUACUUAUACCCUGAGAUGUUGACGGUACCCAAUCAGUAAGCACCGGCUAACUUCGUG